GUGUAGCUCAGUGGCAGAGUGAUUACCUAAGAUGUGUAUGGUCCUGGGUUCAAUCCCCAGCAC
rnacentral:tRNA from 1 species